UACGUAGGGGGCGAGCGUUGUCCGGAGUACUGGGCGUAAAGCGCACGCAGGCGGUCUGCCAAGUUCGGAGUGACAGUUUCCGGCUUAACCGGAAAAGGUCUUCGAAAACUGGUGGACUUGAGGACUUGAGGGGGAGACGGAAUUGCCGGGUGGAGCGGUGAAAUGCGUAGAGAUCAUGAGGAAGACCAGUGGCGAAGGCGGGUCUCUGGACAGUUCCUGACACUGAGGCACGAAGGCCAGGGGAGCAAACGGG
rnacentral:rRNA from 1 species